CAUUUUGCCAUAACGCUAGAACGCGGGUUUGAAAAAGUGAACGAGUUAAUAAAUGAAUGGAUCGGAGAAUGAACCAAUGAGCCAGCAUCAGAAAAGGUUUAAUGUGUGCCUAAACGAACGAGUCAGUUAAUGAAAGAACUAAUUAGUUACUAAACAAAUUAGUAACCGAACGUACGAGCAUCAUACAUCCAAUUCAGUGAAGAAAAGAACUAAUUAGUGACUGAAUAAACGAAAGAGCGGCAUGCCUACUCGCGCCCUGUAGGGAGCCAAGGCACGACACGCUUCGACUAUGUGGGACACAUCGAGCAACCUUUCUCUGCAUAACGGACACCUGCGGGGGAUGCAAGGUUGUUGUAGGUUGAAAAACAACGAUUAGUUUUGCGAGAAGGAAGCAAUAAUCAUUUAUUAUUACGCCUUCCCCUUUUCCUGGACUAGGUCCAGAUUUUCUAUCUUUUUGAAUGGGCCCCCCCCCUGUUGAAUUGUUGAAAAAUAGCUUUUAUCGGCUGAGUUUGACGGGCCCUGGACCACCGCCAGUACACCUGGUAACCAAAUGGAACGCAAACGGAAAUAACGCAAAAAAACAUUUUUCGAGUUUAUACCCAACGAGAAAUCAACUGGAAACCCGUUAACUAAAAUGCCUACAAGGCAAACGAAAUAAAAUCAACCUUGACCUAUUAGUACAAUUUAUUUUCCAAAACUUUUUUGACAAGGAUGAUCACUGUACCUUUUCGCUAUCAAUCAGCACUGGCUAAUUUACACUAUCAAUCAAUCACUUACACGUUCAUUAAUCCAUUUUUCGCACACUCGCAAGCACAUUCACUUACUCAUUCAACGCAAGCAUUGUCAAUUGGUCAAUUGUUUAUUAACGUAGUCAUUCAACCAUUAGCUCUCGCUCAUUUACAUAGUACAUACAACCAUCUUUCAUAAAAAGUCAAGCAUGUCUACUUUCCAAUACGAUUUUUUCCCGAUAAUCGGAUCUGGUGUGAGCGAUGCUUCGCGGACCCCCCGUCGAGGAGCCGAGCCCCAUUUUCCAGGCCCCCCCUGUCCGAAAAUAGAGUCGUUUUCCGAUCCGCUGAGGUCAUUCGACACCAGUCUGCACCCGAUAGCCGGAUCGGACGGACACAUUAUAAAAACAGAAGAAAAAUCAAAUUAAAAGAUGCCGAAAGCAGUUAACGAGACGACCUCCCUCAUCUCGACAUACCUCGUACUCAUCUGCCUACUCACCUGUCUCUACCUCCUCUACUCGGGGAUCGUCUGAUGCAUCAUCAUCAUCAUCAUCACCUCUUAAAAUUUAAAAUUAGGGUUCACUCGCCAAAAAUGAUUCGAUUCCAGUAUUUUCCACAGCUUUGUUCUGCCAUCAAAACUUUAAAAAAAAAUCCAUCGUUAUUUUAAUAUGUAUUUGAAUAAAUUUAUUUGAGACAAAGUU